rnacentral:tRNA from 2 species
GGAGGAGUGGGUGAGUGGCUGAAACCAGUAGUUUGCUAAACUGCCGAACUUAGUAAUAGGUUCCGGGGGUUCGAAUCCCCCCUCCUCCG